GCCUUGGAAACAAGAGAACCUAAGCAAGGGCUGGACUCCCGCUGCAGACAGGGAGCAGAGCCCCCCGCACCUUGAAAUACGGAGGAAAACCUGAAAACGCUGAGAGGUGGAGUGACAACUUGCGUUCAGCUGUUUCAGUGACAUUGUUGACCACCUACUCAGUGUGAAGAUGAUGAAGAUGAAGGCCUUUAUGAUGACCUACUUCCACUUAAUAAAUGGGCGGCAAGUUUCACUGGUCCCAGGCGGGUCUGGAGAGGACAUCCAGGAGCCAGGGCCUGGAGUCAGAAACCUCAGGAAUCUACCUGGUGCUCUAUUUACCAGAGAUGACCUGCCACUCGAGCCACAAAACAAAGCCCUUUCUACUCUUCUCUGUCCUUUCCAUAAGCAGAGGAGUCUCUUCCCCAGGCCCCAGACCCAUGAUCACAUCAUGUGAAGGCUCAAUUCUGCAGCAGCAUGUAUCAGUUUGCUUCUAUUGCUAAAUUGUGUUCCAUUCUGUAAAUAUACUACAUUGUUUUGAUCCAUUCACCAGUUGACAGACUUUUGAGUUAUUUCUGUUUUUUGACUGUGACAACUCAGGCUAGUAUAAACAUUUGUAUACAAGUCUUUUUCUACACCUGUGCUUUCAUUUCUUUUCAGUACAUUCCCAGGAGCUCUCCUUUUCCAUUUUAUAGGAAAGAUCUACCCUUGAAAGACCCCAAUGCUACUUGUUGGAAGAGGGUAGAGAGUUCUAAUUCCAACUCACCAGUAAGUACUGAGUGAUUAGCUCACAUGCUGAAGUAGAAAAAAAGGCUUAUCAGUUCUUAUCUCUGCCCUUUCCCGCCUAAAUCUCCUUGUGACUUUGGGAGAUAACUGUACCUAGCAUCUAGGCAUCUUUGCUUGUGAACUAAAGGCGGAAACAAGAUGUUCUCUGAACUGUCUUUUACCUUAAAAAACA